rnacentral:rRNA from 1 species
GAUGAACGCUGGCGGCGUGCCUAAUACAUGCAAGUCGAGCGAACGGACGAGAAGCUUGCGUCUCUGAGGUUAGCGGCGGACGGGUGAGUAACACGUGGAUAACCUACCUAUAAGACUGGGAGAACUUCGGGAAACCGGAGCUAAUACCGGAUAAUAUUUUGAACCGCAUGGUUCAAAAGUGAAAGACGGUCUUGCUGUCACUUAUAGAUGGAUCCGCGCUGCAUUAGCUAGUUGGUAAGGUAACGGCUUACCAAGGCAACGAUGCAUAGCCGACCUGAGAGGGUGAUCGGCCACACUGGAACUGAGACACGGUCCAGACUCCUACGGGAGGCAGCAGUAGGGAAUCUUCCGCAAUGGGCGAAAGCCUGACGGAGCAACGCCGCGUGAGUGAUGAAGGUCUUCGGAUCGUAAAACUCUGUUAUUAGGGAAGAACAUAUGUGUAAGUAACUGUGCACAUCUUGACGGUACCUAAUCAGAAAGCCACGGCUAACUACGUG